CUUUCAAACCAUCACCAAUUUUUAAAGAAAAUCAACCUCUCACAAAAAGUUGGUGAUGACUAGGCGUGGAUAUUGCACCAAAUGAAGCUGCAUUGAUGGGGGCCUGAUAUUUGAUGGAUGCUCCAGUUGCACAAACAGUUUGGGAAAAAAAUUAGAACGUGCUCCAGACCAGGAUCUACUGAGGGAAGAAGAAAAAAUCCCAGCAACUUGUGUGUUUUGCUGCCAACAUCUUUUAAAUGUACCAAAGAAUAAGUAAGAUUUCCUAUGGCAGGAUGCAGCAGCAACUGGAAAGAAUGAGAAAGAACAGUGCAUUAAGACACAGCUAUCCAAGAUAAAAUAUCCUGCAGCUAAAUUUUCAAUGUAAAACCAUACUGUACAUAAAUACAGUGAUAGGGCAUGAGAGUAAUACAGGUGCCAGAGAAGAUUAUAUUACAAUAUGCCUUGAUUACCAUCUGCUUAGUUUUAAUUAAUUUCCUUAAUUGGAGAACAAUGCAUUUUCUAAUUACACAUGAAACACUACCAGCUAUUUCAGGGUCUUUAUCUAUUGUAUUGUACAAAUUCUCCUGGUAGACUCACUCUCUGCCUAAUUUAUACCACCCUCAUCUCAGUGGACACAGGCUGUUUGGCAGACUCUUGACAAUUACUCAAACUAAUCAUAUGUGAAGCAACACUCAAAAUUUGUAAUUUAGGUGCAAUAAAACCCUAAAUGUGAAUAAUUCAGAUCAUACAAAUACCAGGCUGAAACUUCAGCCAGAAAAGUAAUUAUAAAACAAUAAAAAUGCAGCUAGAAUCAAAAAAGUGAA